GAUGAAGAACGCAGCGAAAUGCGAUAAGUAAUGUGAAUUGCAGAAUUCAGUGAAUCAUCGAAUCUUUGAACGCACAUUGCGCCCGCCAGUAUUCUGGCGGGCAUGCCUGUUCGAGCGUCAUUACAACCCUCAGGCCCCCGGGCCUGGCGUUGGGGAUCGGCGGAAGCCCCCUGCGGGCACAACGCCGUCCCCCAAAUACAGUGGCGGUCCCGCCGCAGCUUCCAUUGCGUAGAAGCUAACACCUCGCAACUGGAGAGCGGCGCGGCCACGCCGUAAAACACCCAACUUCUGAAUGUUGACCUCGAAUCAGGUAGGAAUACCCGCUGAACUUAAGCAUAUCAAUAAGCGGAGGA
rnacentral:misc_RNA from 1 species